rnacentral:tRNA from 1 species
GCGCUAGUAGCUCAAUUGGACAGAGUGUCUGGUUUCGGCCCAGAAGGUUGAGGGUUCAAAUCCUUCCUGGCGCGCCA